UACGUAGGGUGCAAGCGUUGUCCGGAAUCAUUGGGCGUAAAGAGCGUGUAGGCGGCCUCAUCAGUCCGCUGUGAAAGUCCAGGGCUCAACCCUGGGAUGCCGGUGGAUACUGUGAGGCUAGAGUCCGGAAGAGGCGAGUGGAAUUCCCGGUGUAGCGGUGAAAUGCGCAGAUAUCGGGAGGAACACCAAUGGCGAAGGCAGCUCGCUGGGACGGUACUGACGCUGAGACGCGAAAGCGUGGGGAGCAAACAGG
rnacentral:rRNA from 1 species